CUCCAUAUUUUUUGAAUUGGUGCUUAACAGGCUGAUAUGAAAAGUUUAUCACAUGCUUCGAUUGUUAUCAAAUGCCUUUCCGUAACGUCUCGCAUGGCAUUCAGGUGAUACUCGCCAAAUUCAAGAAAAUACACCUCAAUGCUACAUUUUCAGUGAAAAACAUUACAAAGUAGUGUACAAAACAAUUAUUUGGAUACCGGUACAGUACUGGAAAGUAUAUUGUGUAAAAUAAUAAAAAAAAAAAAUGUAAAAAAUGUAAAACUAAAUGUAUUUUUUAAAAGCUUCAAACAUAAUUUAGAAAGUU
rnacentral:lncRNA from 1 species